CUUGAUAGAGUACAGUGUACGUGCCCCAACAAGGACUUUGGAUUUCAUUCUUUUCUUUCUUUCUUUUUUUUUUUUUUUUUUUUUGAGGCAGAGUCUCUCUCUGUCACCCAGGCUGGAGUGCAGUGGCAUGAUCUCGGCUCACUGUAACCUCCGUCUUCCGGGUUCAAGUGAUUCUCCUGCCUCAGCCUCCCAAGUAGCUGGGAUUACAGGCAUGCACUACCAUGCCCGGCUAAUUUUUUGUAUUUGUAAUAGAGACAGGGUUUUGCCAUGUUGGCCAAGCUGGUCUUGAACUCCUGACCUCAGGUGAUUCGCCCACCUCAGCCUCCCAAAGUACUGGGAUAACAGGCGUAAGCCAGUGCGCCCAGCCUGGAUUUCGUUCUGAGAGGGAUGAGACGUCAUUGGAGGAUGGAGAGGAGGAGAAUCUUACUGUGGCUGUCAUUGGGACCACACUGGAAGAAGGUGGUGGAACGGGAAUCCCCUGUGGAAAAAUGACUUUUGUUGUUGUUGUUGUUGUUGAGACAGAGUCUCGCUCCAUCACCUAGGCUGGAGUGCAGGGGCGCAAUCUCAGCUCACUGCAACCUCUGCCUCCCAGGUUCAAGCGAUUCUCCUGCCUCAGCCUCCUCAGUAGCUGGGACUACAGGCACCUACCACCACACCUGGCUAAUUAAGGUAUUUUUGGUAGAGGCAGGGUUUCUCCAUGUUGGCCAGGCUGGUCUUGAACUCCUGACCUCAAGCAAUCUGCCUGCCUUGGCCUCCCAAAAUGCAGGGAAAUACAGGCGUGAGACACUGCGCCCUGCCAAGAACUUUCAUUAUCAAAGGAAAUGCAGCAAAGGAGCUUCUUCCUCCCACCAAGCCAGUGACGGAGACAGAGUUUCUCCAUGUUGGCCAGGCUGGUCUUGAACUCCUGACUUUGUUAUCCGCCCACCUCAGUCUCCCAAAGUGUUGGGAUUACAGGCGUGAGCCACCACGCUCGGCCUUUUUAAUACAUAUUUAUUUAUUUAUUUAUUUAUUUAUUUAUUUAUUUAUUUAUUCUUGCCUUGAAGGUCUUUAAACAUUCAUUCAUGGCCAGGUGCGGUGGCUGAUGCCUGUAAUCCCAGCACUUUGGGAGGCCGAGGCAGGUGGAUCACCUAAGGUCGGGAGUUCGAGACCAGCCUGACCAACAUGGAGAAACCCUGUCUCUACUAAAAAUAUACACAAAAAAUUAGCUGGAUGUGGUGGCG
rnacentral:lncRNA from 10 species